rnacentral:rRNA from 1 species
UGGAGCAGAGCGGGUAUCAGGCGCAACAACAUUAGCCCACAACACCUUGCCAAGCCACAUCCCCACGGACAAGCAGCAGUGACCAACAUUAGGCAAUAAGCACAUCAAGCUUGACCUAGCUAGAAUUCCCCCUCGGUCGGCAAAUCUCGUGCCAGCAGCCGCGGUUACACGGGAGACCGAAGAUAGCACACUAACGGCGUAAAGAGUGACCACAGAUUUUACACCUCCAUCCGGAUUCAAAAAUUUCACCUUAGAGAUGAAAUCCAAAGGUACCAGAAAUCCUUCAGCAUCCCAAAAUAGGCCAUCUAAUUCACGAAAGCCAGGACACAAACUAGGAUA